CAGAAGUUUUGGAGCAUGAGCUUUCGUGGGUGAACACCCACUUCGUCGGAUGCAGGUUGAGUGAUGUCUGCACUGCCAGAAAGUGAGAAAGGAAUUAAAUCUGGAUAUCACCUUGAAAAGCAUAAAGAUUUCAAACUGACAGUAUCUCUUCAGCACCAGAAUAUUCCACUGCAACUUUCCCAGGGAUGUUUGCAGGAAGCCUGCACACUUUUCUUGCCUCAAUCUUGCUGUUUUGCAGGAGCCCAGUCAUGGACUAGGACUCCAUUGUACUAGAUGCUGCACAACACAGAACAAAAAGAGCUCACCAUCUACGUACGAGUGCUGUGUCACUGCUGGUAGACAACAGGAAGAUAAAGCCAUUUCUGAAAAACUAGCCUAGGAGUCUGGAGUAAUACCAUGUGCAGUGAAUUAUUGGUCUUGGUCCAUUUGCUAGCGAGCAGGUAUCUGUCACAAAAGCCACCUUCAAUUAUGGCAGUCUCAGCAAAGAGGCAUUGUUUGAAUGUGCAUGAAAAAUUAACUGCUCUCUGUGCCCUAGAGAUGGUUAUGA